rnacentral:lncRNA from 1 species
GGUAUUUUUUGAUGAUAUUCUGGUUUAUAGCUCUACAGUAACAAAGCAUGUUAGUCAUCUUAAGUUGGUUUUAGAGUUGCUGUUUAACCAUCAAUUUUUUGCUAAGAUGUCUAAGUGUAUUUUUGGUGUUGAAUCAAUUGCUUACUUGGGCCAUGUUUUGUCAGCCAAUGGGGUUCAACCUGACCGCGACAAAAUCCAAGCCAUAGUCGAGUGGCCAAUUCCGUGUUCUUUGACACAGUUACGUGGAUUCUUGGGCCUGACUGGACUUUAUCGUCGUUUCAUUAGAAACUAUGCUUCUCACGCCGCUCCACUCACGGAUUUAUUAAAGCAUACAAAGUUUACAUGGUCAACAAUGGCACUUGAAGCCUUUACACAAAUGAAAGCGAUAAUGACUAAAACCCCAGUGUUAGUGCUUCCAAACUUUAAUGUUAUUUUCGAUGUUGAGACUGAUGUUUCUGCCUUGGAAAUUGGGGCAGUAUUGUCACAAAAUGGACACCCAAUAGCUUUCUUUAGCAAGAAGUUAUCAACCAGGAUGCAAGCUGCCUCCGCAUAUGUCCGAGAACUCUAUGCUGUUACAGAAUCAGUAAUGAAAUGGCGUCAGUAUCUAAUUGGCAGAUAUUUUCGCAUAUUUACAGAUCAACAAAGCUUGAAGCACAUGUUAACAGAAGCUUUUCAAACCACUGAACAACAAAAAUGGGCUACAAAACUACAAGGAUUUCACUAUGAGAUUUUUUACAAACCUGGAAGAGAGAACAGGGUUGCUGAUCCUCUAUCUCGGUGUCAUUCGGCUGAAUCGAUACUAGUGUCCUUGAGCUCGCCAAUUCCAAACGUACUCAGUCAGCUCACAAAUUUUUAC